rnacentral:rRNA from 1 species
AUUGAACGCUGGCGGUAUGCUUAACACAUGCAAGUCGAACGGCAGCACAGUAUGUAGCAAUACAUAUGGGUGGCGAGUGGCGGACGGGUGAGUAACGCGUAGGAAUCUACCCUAAAGCGGGGGACAACCCGAGGAAACUCGGGCUAAUACCGCAUAAUCUCGAAAGAGUAAAGCUGGGGCAACCUGGCACUUUAGGAGGAGCCUGCGUCCGAUUAGCUAGUUGGUGCGGUAAAGGCUCACCAAGGCGAUGAUCGGAAGCUGGUCUGAGAGGAUGAUCAGCCACACUGGGACUGAGACACAGCCCAGACUCCUACGGGAGGCAGCAGUGGGGAAUAUUGGACAAUGGGGGCAACCCUGAUCCAGCAAUACCGCGUGUGUGAAGAAGGCCUUAGGGUUGUAAAGCACUUUAGUUGGGGAAGAAGGAUAGUUGUUUAAGAGAUGAUUAUUUUGACGGUACCCAAAGAAUAAGCACCGGCUAACUCUGUGUCAGCAGCCGCCGUAA